rnacentral:antisense_RNA from 1 species
AUCUUCGUGCAUAGGCAAACUCAUUGUAGCUAGACUGUACAAAGUAUAUCAAGAUAUGCCAAAUAUUGAGCUUAACUUCACCUGUUUGAGAGACGUGUUGUAAACUACUUGUCAUGGGAUAACCAAAAUUAAACCUGGAAUCUCAGAAGAAACAAAUUGUUUGAAGAAGUUGGAUGUGCUUUUUUAAAAUUUUUCAUUCAACUAAAACUUUGUGAACUGUUUCUUGGUUGUGGUCUUCUCUAAAUUUUAAUCUUUGGCAUUCACUUCCAAAGUAUCCCUCACUAAACUUCAUAACAUUUAUUAUGUCUCUUCAUCAUUAAACUUUGAUGAAUUUACAGAGUGUGUUUUGAAAUUAUGUUCUUGAGAAAGCCAGGGGAUUGGAUGAUGUCAUGGAAAUGUCAAAGAAAGAGUGACACCUGAGAGAAAAUUUGAAAGAUGAAAGCGCUGUUAAUAUGGAAACUGGUCUAAUAUGGAAAACAGGUGAACAUGGAGCUGCUUUGUUUGACUCAGGGAUGAGAGAUACCCAGGUCCUAAUUACUUGUCUUUAACUUUCCUUAGGGAGUACUAAUUUGGGAGUCAUUGUUCUAAACAAUUAAAGUGAAGUAACUGUCCUGUUUUUCUCUUUUACCCUUGUGAACGAGGAAGCCUCAGGGUUAAAGUCUAUGUCUUUUCUUAUAUAUUUCUGUGUUGUAGGAUCUUUUAAUAAAGAUUUUCUCCUUUU